CCUACGGGAGGCAGCAGUGGGGAAUUUUGGACAAUGGGCGCAAGCCUGAUCCAGCCAUGCCGCGUGAGUGAAGAAGGCCUUCGGGUUGUAAAGCUCUUUCGGCAGGAACGAAAUGGUUCGUGCUAAUACCACGGACUGAUGACGGUACCUGAAGAAGAAGCACCGGCUAACUACGUGCCAGCAGCCGCGGUAAUACGUAGGGUGCAGGCGUUAAUCGGAAUUACUGGGCGUAAAGCGUGCGCAGGCGGUUUCUUAAGUCAGAUGUGAAAGCCCCGGGCUUAACCUGGAACUGCGUUUGAAACUGGGAGACUUGAGUGUGGCAGAGGGGGGUGGAAUUCCACGUGUAGCAGUGAAAUGCGUAGAUAUGUGGAGGAACACCGAUGGCGAAGGCAGCCCCCUGGGCUAACACUGACGCUCAUGCACGAAAGCGUGGGGAGCAAACAGGAUUAGAUACCCUGGUAGUCCACGCCCUAAACUAUGUCAACUGGUUGUCGGGAGAUUAACUCUCUUGGUAACGAAGCUAACGCGCGAAGUUGACCGCCUGGGGAGGUACGGCCGCGAGUAAACGUACGAAGAAGUAGAGNGNGAGACGNGCGAGACGACGACGAGGGAGAGG
rnacentral:rRNA from 1 species